rnacentral:tRNA from 1 species
GACCUCAUGGUGAAAUGGUUUACACAUUUAUUUGGCAAAGUUGCUGGUUCAAUUCCAGCUGGAGCCA